rnacentral:rRNA from 1 species
AGCCUGAUGCAGCGACGCCGCGUGAGGGAUGACGGCCUUCGGGUUGUAAACCUCUGCAACCGGGGACGAAGCGGAAGUGACGGUACCUGGAGAAGAAGCACCGGCCAACUACGUGCCAGCAGCCGCGGUAAUACGUAGGGUGCGAGCGUUGUCCGGAAUUACUGGGCGUAAAGAGCUCGUAGGCGGUUUGUCGCGUCGUCUGUGAAAUUCUGCAACUCAAUUGCAGGCGUGCAGGCGAUACGGGCAGACUUGAGUACUACAGGGGAGACUGGAAUUCCUGGUGUAGCGGUGAAAUGCGCAGAUAUCAGGAGGAACACCGGUGGCGAAGGCGGGUCUCUGGGUAGUAACUGACGCUGAGGAGCGAAAGCGUGGGUAGCGAACAGGAUUAUAUACCCUGGUAGUCCACGCCGUAAACGGUGGGUACUAGGUGUGGGUUCCUUUUCACGGGAUCCGUGCCGUAGCUAACGCAUUAAGUACCCCGCCUGGGGAGUACGGCCGCAAGGCUAAAACUCAAAGGAAUUGACGG